AGUGAACGCUGGCGGUAGGCCUAACACAUGCAAGUCGAACGGCAGCACAGUAAGAGCUUGCUCUUACGGGUGGCGAGUGGCGGACGGGUGAGGAAUACAUCGGAAUCUACUUUUUCGUGGGGGAUAACGUAGGUAAACUUACGCUAAUACCGCAUACGACCUACGGGUGAAAGCAGGGGAUCUUCGGACCUUGCGCGAUUGAAUGAGCCGAUGUCGGAUUAGCUAGUUGGCGGGGUAAUGGCCCACCAAGGCGACGAUCCGUAGCUGGUCUGAGAGGAUGGUCGGCCACACUGGAAGUGGAACACGGACCAGACUCCUACGAGAGGCAGCAGUGGGGAAUGUUAGACAAUAGGCGCAAGCAUGAUACAGCGAGACCGCGUGGGUGGAGAAGGCCUUCGGGUUGUAAAGACCUUUUGUUGGGAAAGAAAAGCAGCAGGUUGAUACCAAGCUGUUCUGACGGUAACCAAUGAAUAAGCACCGGCUAACUUCGUG
rnacentral:rRNA from 1 species